rnacentral:rRNA from 1 species
UACGGAGGGGACUAGCGUUGUUCGGAAUUACUGGGCGUAAAGCGCACGUAGGCGGAUUUGUAAGUCAGGGGUGAAAUCCCGGGGCUCAACCUCGGGCCUGCAGUCGAUACGGGCAAACUAGAGUACUGCAGGGGAGACUGGAAUUCCUGGUGUAGCGGUGAAAUGCGCAGAUAUCAGGAGGAACACCGGUGGCGAAGGCGGGUCUCUGGGCAGUAACUGACGCUGAGGAGCGAAAGCGUGGGGAGCGAACAGG